AGCUAAUAGAUACCCAGGUAGUCCACGCCCUAAACGAUGUCUACUAGUUGUUGGUGGAGUAAAAUCCAUGAGUAAACGCAGCUAACGCGUGAAGUAGACCGCCUGGGGAGUACGGUCGCAAGAUUAAAACUCAAAGGAAUUGACGGGGGCCCGCACAAGCGGUGGAUUAUGUGGAUUAAUUACGAUGCAACGCGAAAACCUUACCUGGCCUUGACAUGCCACUAACGAAGCAGAGAUGCAUUAGGUGCCCGUAAGGGAAAGUGGACACAGGUGCUGCAUGGCUGUCGUCAGCUCGUGUCGUGACGAUGUUGGGUUAAGUUCCCGCAACGAGCGCAACCCUUGCCAUUAAUUGUCCAUCAUUU
rnacentral:rRNA from 1 species